GAAGAAAUUUCUACAUUUUAUAUAGCAGCUUUCCCCAUCCUAUGCUCUUUCACUCUCUCGCUCACAGUUGACUGCGCGACCUCUCUCUCCGGCAAUGGCCAGAAACCUAGUUCCAUUUCUGGUGCUACUUUUUUGGAUUUCGAUCUGCCAAGCUGCUAGCAUUUUUCAGCCGAUCUCAGAUUCACAUCGAAAUGCGGCUCUGGAGCUCUUCCGGCCUACUGAUGGAGUAUUCGGAAGCUUGGAAGAGACACAUGAAGCAUUAAGAACAUUUGACAUUCUUGGAAUUCAAGAGAAGCCUGAUAUUAGUGCUGCCACUUGCAAGUCUGUAUCAGAGGCUCUUGGUUCAUCUGCAGCUCUAAAGGAUCUGUUUUAUGCUCUGAGAGUUAACGAUGCUUUGAAAUGUGAAAUUAAGGAGGAAAUAUAUGAGAGCAUUACUUCAAGACUUAGAACUGUUCUAAAUGAUGCGCGGUCGCUGCUUGACUUCUACUACUCUAUAGGAAGCUUAUUACAUCUAAAGGAACAAAGUUCUGGAGUUGAUCUAUCACUUAAGGAUGCUGAUGUUAUUUUUCAAUCGAUCAAGGCGUUGAGCCAGAGUGAUGGAAGGUGGCGCUAUAGUUCUAAUAAUCCUGAGUCUAGUACUUAUGCUGCUGGAUUGGCACUUGAAGCCCUUGCUGGUGUUAUAUCAUUAGCAUCAUCUGAUAUUGAUCAAAAUAUGAUUGGUACUGUAAAGAAUGAUAUACUGAAACUUUUCGACAGUAUUGAGAAAUAUGAUGAUGGAGCUUUAUAUUUCGAGGAAAAAGUUAUUGAUGCAUAUGAACAUCAUGGGCCUCUUGCAACUACAUCCUCAGUUGUUCGAGGGUUGACAGCAUUUACUGCUGCUACUUCUGGAAGCUUAAAUCUUCCUGGGGAUACAAUUUUUGGUUUGGCAAAAUUCUUCCUUGGCAUUGGAAUUCCUGGUGAUGCUAAAGACUUAUUCAACCAAGUAGACUCCUUGGCUCGCUUGGAGACAAAUAGGGUUUCUAUUCCGUUGAUUUUAUCUCUUCCAGCGACCGUUCUUUCAUUAACGAAGGAAGACCAACUGAAGGUUGGAGUGAAUACUGUGCUUGGUUCAGUUGCACCUCCUUUAACUGUGAAGAUAGUAAGAGCUUUUCUCUCUGGUUCGAAAGAGACAUCCGUUAUUGAGGGCCAGGAACUCAAGUAUUAUCCUCAGACUGGUUUACAUAUCUUGGAUGCUUUCCCCAAGACCUUUGAUGUUGGAAACUACGUGUUCGUCUUUGAGAUUGCUCUUCAUGAUUCAGAGCAUUUGGAUAUUUAUGCCACCGGGGGGCAGAUACAAGUGCCAAUAUAUAUCUCAGGAGUUGUCAAAAUUGAGAAUGCAGAGAUUGCGGUUCUUGAUAGCGAUCUAGGGAGCAUUGAGACCCAAAAGAAGCUUGAUUUAGUUGGUGAGAGUGCUAUUUCAUUGGCAGCAAACCACCUGCAGAAAUUGCGUCUAUCAUUUCAACUGACCACACCACAAGGACAUGGUUUUAUGCCGCAUCAGGCUUUUCUCAAGCUGAGGCAUGAAAGUGGCGUUGAGCAUACCUUUGUCGUUAAAGGCUCUGGCAAAAAAUUUGAAACAAUUCUAGACUUUCUUGGGUUGGUUGAGAAGUUUUUCUAUCUCUCGGGUCGAUAUGACAUUCAGUUAACUGUUGGUGAUGCCAUCAUGGAGAAUUCUUUCUUACGGGCUAUUGGUCAUAUUGACUUGGAUCUACCUGAGGCACCAGAGAAAGCUCCUCGUCCACCUCCACAGCCUGUCGAUCCUUACACACGCUAUGGACCGAAAGCUGAAAUCACUCACAUCUUCAGGGCUCCAGAAAAGAGACCAGCUAAGGAGCUUUCUCUUAUCUUUUUGGGUCUCACGUUCUUGCCAUUCCUUGUGUUUCUGGUUGGGCUAUUGCGAAUGGGUGUGAAUCUAAAGAACUUCCCGACAUCAACAGUACCUGCCACCUUCGCCUUUCUCUUCCAUCUUGGCAUUGCAGCAGUUAUCUUGCUUUACACGCUCUUCUGGUUAAAGUUGGACCUGUUUACAACAUUGAAAGCACUGGGCAUCUUGGGAGUUUUCUUGGUAUUUGUGGGACACAGGACCCUUUCCCACCUUGCUUCAACUUCAGCCAAGUUGAAAUCUGCCUGAGCUCUUCGGUGGUUCUCAUUUUUAACUUCUAGGAAAAAUUUUGCUUUCGCAGAGUAAUUAUAGGAACUCUUUUUAUAUUUAUGGUUCAGUCCAGGGAUUUUGUACACACUGCGAUUAGCUUUAACUAUACAGAAUGUUGAGCACCCUCCUGCAUGGUGCAUCAGGGAUAUCUAUCUAUAAUAUAUGAAAAAACUGUGGAGGGUACAAAAACAUUUUGCACAAAUUAAUUUUGCAGAAAAACUA